UACGGAGGGUGCGAGCGUUGUCCGGAAUCAUUGGGCGUAAAGGGCGCGUAGGUGGCGGCUUAAGCGUGCGGUGAAAAGCUCGGGGGCUCAACCCCCGAGUCGGCCGUGCGAACUGGAGUCGCUUGAGCACUGUAGAGGCAGGCGGAAUUCCGGGUGUAGCGGUGGAAUGCGUAGAGAUCCGGAAGAACACCGGUGGCGAGGCGGCCUGCUGGGCAGUAGCUGACACUGAGGCGCGACAGCGUGGGGAGCAAACAGG
rnacentral:rRNA from 1 species